rnacentral:lncRNA from 1 species
GCCUCAUACAUGCUAAGCCAGCACUGUACCACUAAGCUACAACCCCAGCCCCAGAUAUGUCUUUAAAUCAGGAGAAAUAGAGAGUAGCAAAGACAGAUACAGUGACAAAAGCUUGGUGAAGGCAAAAUGUCCCAAUGUAAACAGUGGGGGGAGAGAAUGCAGUAGAAAUAUAGAGAAAAAAAUAAGCAGAAAGAAAAGAACAUAAUUGGCCAAAUUAUAUUGCUGUAUUGUGUGUAUGUUGUGUAUAUAUGAAUGUGAAACAACAAAUUCCAUCAUUUGUACAAGUAUACUGCACCAAUAAAAAAAGCUGCUAUAAUCCUAGUAGCUCAGGAGGCUGAGGCAGAAAGAUGGUGAGUUCAAAGUCAGCCUCAGAAAAAGUGAGGUGCUAAGCAACUCAGUGAGACCCUGUCUCUAAAUAAAAUACAAAAUAAGGCUGGGGAUGUGGCUCAGUGGUCGAGAGCCCCUGAGUAGUUGGGGAAAUCCAACUGGUACAGGGUGGGAGGUAGGAGAAAAGAACAAGAUAAAACAACAACAACAAAGGUCCUACAAAAGGAGGUGAAGAAAAAGAAGGCAAGUAGAAGCCAGAGAAUGUGAGAAACAUGGAGGGGCUUAGGAUUUCAGGCCUAGGAGCAGGCCCGAUAAGUACCCGAGUCUGACUUCUAGAUGACUAGUCUGACUUCUCUUGGUGACUUCUCCUGUCUCCCAGCCCCAACCCCAACCCCAGGGACACAGGACUUACUUGACCCUGAGUCAAGGGUCCCCAGCUUCUUUCAUCCCCAUGAUAGAUGAGAUAGUUGUCAUAGAUGGGAUUACUGCUACAAGAUUGA